CAGAGUUAUCCAACUCCCAAACCCAUGUGAACUUAUCUCUUUGUUGCCUCGGCGCAAGCUACCCGGGACCUCGCGCCCCGGGCGGCCCGCCGGCGGACAAACCAAACUCUGUUAUCUUAGUUGAUUAUCUGAGUGUCUUAUUUAAUAAGUCA
rnacentral:misc_RNA from 2 species